UACGUAGGGGGCAAGCGUUGUUCGGAAUGACUGGGCGUAAAGGGUGUGUAGGCGGUGUAGCAAGUUAGAAGUGAAAUACCUAGAGCUUAACUCAGGUGCUGCUUCUAAAACUGCUAUACUUGAGUGCAGUAGAGGAAAGUGGAAUUCCUAGUGUAGCGGUGGAAUGCGUAGAUAUUAGGAGGAACAUCAGUGGCGAAGGCGACUUUCUGGACUGUAACUGACGCUGAGGCACGAAAGUGUGGGGAGCAAAC
rnacentral:rRNA from 1 species